AGUAAAAUAACUUAAUUUUAAAGUGAUAGAUUGUAAAUCUAUUUAUGAAUUUUAUUCUUUUACUA
rnacentral:tRNA from 1 species